CACGACCUUUUUCUGAUUAUGUAAAACGCCAUGAAUAGAAUAGAAUUGAUCACAUCUCACAAGGAAGGAGGAGUGAUAUGGCGAUAUCAUAUUUUCUUGGCGAAGAAGAAAUUACUGUCUCAAUGCGUAAAAUAUUACUCUACGAAGCAAGAAGGCUAAGAAUGAAGAAAGAAAAGAAGGCAAAACAUAAACGCAAGACGCAAAUAGUAGUUCGCGACACGACAAGUUCAUCAGUAUUAUGGAAUUAUCGACAUUGGACUUGAAAUCUCAGUUGAAGUUCCGGUAUUGGAUUGACGACAGCAGUCAACUAUCGAUGAACACUGAUUUGAAGAUGCUUGACGUUCUACAGAGGAAGCAAGAAAAUAAUAAUUAGAGAUAUUUACAGAUUAAAACAUAGUAGUUAUGCACUUUUAUUCAAAUUAAUAUUGUUUACUGAUCAGUAAUAAUACCAUAACCCAAUACUUGUAGCGGCUUAUGCUGAACCUUAUCAUGGCUCUUUUUUUUUUUCUUUUUUUUUCAUUUUCUAAUAUUAAUUUAGUGAACAUAAAAUGCCAGCUACUCGGAUAUCUAGGUGACUUAGGACUGAUUUUUUAAUCGUUGAAUAUCUGCUGAAGAAUAAACAUUUUGACAUAUACUAUUCUUCAGUUAAAAGUUAUACGAAGAUUGAGAAAUCAGCCCACAAGUUUUUUUUUAAAACUGAGGUGGAAUUGUGUAAAGCAAUCGUUAUCAUUUGACAGUUACGUACGUAACAUAACGUACGAUAAUUCUGUCAAACGCUUUAACUGAUUUUAUCGUACGUUAUGAACUGUCAAAUGAUUACGAUUGCUUUACACAAUUCCAUCUCUGAUCCAGAUUAUUUUUUAUAUUUUCAUUUGUAUAGGAAAAUGUAACAUAAUCAUUUAGCCAAUGUCAAUUUGCAUUCAUAUUAUAAAUAUUGCACUUGAAAUGAUGAUUAUUAUGAUUACAUAAUAUUUUGGAAUUAAACAUGUCUUAGCUAAGUAAAACUACUCGAAUUUCACUAUCAUUGGAAUUUAAUAUUUUUCGCUUAUAUUAAAAUCGUAGCUUGAUCCAGUCAUUCUAGAUAACUUAGAUUUUUAAAUCCGACUGUCAGCACUGAAGCUACAUGUAGCACUUUUUUCCCUUUAAGCUUAUGUCUUUUUAUUUAAUGUACUAAAUGAUAGAUCAAUUACGAAAGUAGAUUGCUCCUUUACAGAGACAUAGUAAUAUUACAGUCAAAUGUAUGCUUUCAAAAGUUGUAGAAUAAUUUUUUAAUCAUUAUAAAUAUACUAUUUGAAGCAAU